GAUGAACGCUGGCGGCGUGCCUAAUACAUGCAAGUAGAACGCUGAAGGAAGGAGCUUGCUCUUUCCGGAUGAGUUGCGAACGGGUGAGUAACGCGUAGGUAACCUGCCUGGUAGCGGGGGAUAACUAUUGGAAACGAUAGCUAAUACCGCAUAACAGUAGAUGUUGCAUGAUAUCUACUUAAAAGGUGCAAUUGCACCACUACCAGGUGGACCUGCGUUGUAUUAGCUAGUUGGUGAGGUAACGGCUCACCAAGGCGACGAUACAUAGCCGACCUGAGAGGGUGAUCGGCCACACUGGGACUGAGACACGGCCCAGACUCCUACGGGAGGCAGCAGUAGGGAAUCUUCGGCAAUGGACGGAAGUCUGACCGAGCAACGCCGCGUGAGUGAAGAAGGUUUUCGAAUCGUAAAGCUCUGUUGUAAGAGAAGAACGAGUGUGAGAGUGGAAAGUUCACACUGUGACGGUAUCUUACCAGAAAGGGACGGCUAACUACGUG
rnacentral:rRNA from 1 species